rnacentral:rRNA from 1 species
UACGUAGGAGGCAAGCGUUGUCCGGAGUUACUGGGCGUAAAGGGCCCGCAGGCGGUGGAGUAAGUUUGGAGUGACAGUUCCCAGCUUAACCGGGAAAGGACUUCGAAAACUGCUCGACUUGAGGACUGGAGAGGAAGGCGGAAUUCCGGGUGGAGCGGUGAAAUGCGUAGAGAGUACCGGAGGAACACCGACGGCGAAGGCAGCCUUCUGGAAAGUACCUGACGCUGAGGGGCGAAAGCUAGGGGAGCGAAAGCGGGAUUGAG